UGGAAACUAUUCUGUUUUGCAAAAUACGAUCUGUGAUGUCCAUUAAUCGGUAAUAAAUUAGAAAAGUUCGUCAAAAAGUUGUAAACAACCAGUCGUAACUCCAGCUUAUAAACCACAGAAAGUAAAAGACAAAAUUGCAGCAACCUGUAAAUUUUUUUUAUUAAUGACAGAAAAAAUGUCUAAAAGCGACAGUUCUCAAUUUUCAGUUACGUUGUUGCAAUGGUAAAAGAUAUACUAGGUUAUGCGAAAUUGGUACACUAGAAUUGAGUUCGUGAAGCAACUGGUUAGCCCAUAAUACUGACGUCCAUAAUCUUGCGAUCCAAGCUUUCGACAGUCGAUAAUGGGAAAAGGUUUUCUUAUUUUUUUUAUUUUAUUGACUUGAACUGCUUUUUUUUUUUUUUUUUUUUUUCCCAAGAUAUUGCUUUACUAAAAAUUGACUUCCCAAAUAGUAAUAAAAGGCUAUGAUCCUAUUUCUUAAUUACAUAUUAUGAAAGUAUGAUUUAUUAGGACUUUCUAUAAAAUUUUUAGGUAAGGUUUUUUCAUAAAGGACUUCAUGAAUUUGAUUUUAAAUCAUGUCUUCUAACAGACAUAUGGAAUCAGCAAAAAUAAAUAAAUAGUAGCUUCCAUGGAUUUAAGACAAAUAAUUUACAAUAACUAAGCAGCAAUUGCUAAUUCCAGGUGACUAAUAUACUACCCUAAAGACUCAAAAAAAUGAAGCACUAAGGCUUUCUAAACUAAAGGAUUUGAAAUGUGAAUGUUUGAUGGAAUAGAUAUGAUUAACGCCUUUGGAAUUCUUUAGCUUGUCUUCAUUUUUCAAAGGUAAUUCCAACAAAUAGAAGUUUCAACUCAAAACAAACACCGAUCACCAAACAAAUACAUAAUAAAUGACUCUGAGAUUUUGGAUCGAUGGAGUGAAUAAAUUUUUAUUUCAAUAAUUACGCAGAGCCAUAUUGAUGACAUUUCUCUAAGAAGAAGCGAACAUCAUCUGGAUUGACACCAGGUGUAAUACCAUGACCCAAAUUAAUAAUAUAGCCUUGUUUUCCGCCUCCAAAAUCUUGGAUCAUUUCCUUGGUACGGGCUUCAAUAAUUUCGCGUGUGCCAUAUAAAAUGUUAGGAUCCAAGUUACCUUGGAAUGUAACACGACGAUUACCUCGAAUACGGACAGCCUCUUUGGGACUGACCGUCCAGUCUAAACCAAUAACAUCGUAACCUGAAUCACACAAUUGGUCAAUUGCAUACCAAGCACCUUUUGCAAAAACAAUCAUAGGAACCUCGUCUCGUUUCUUUUUCUUCAAGUGUUGCUUAACUUCUUGACAUAUUCGCACCAGAUAAGGGUAUGCAUACUCCGUAAAGUCUUCGGGGGAUAAUUCACCAGCCCAGGAAUCAAAAAUUUGAAGUAGCUAUAUAUUAUUUGAAUUAGUAUAGAAAAUAAUCAGAGUUAACUCAUACCUGUGCUCCAGCGUAUACUUGCUGUAUCAGAUAUGAAACCGUGGCAUCGGUAAUGAUUUUAAGAAGCUUGUGGGAAGCCUCGGGGUACCGAAAAAGCCAAGAUUUAGCUUUUGCAAAAGUUUUGGAGCCACCUCCUUCAAUCAUGUAGGCCAUAAUAGUCCAAGGAGCACCAGAAAAUCCCAUCAAAGGGACCUGUCCAUCUAAUUUUUCGCGAGUCAAAGAAAUUGCAUCCAUUACAUAUCCCAAUUUAGCCGAGAUGUUGGGAGUUUUUUCUAAAAGGUCAAUAUCUUCAGGCACAACCAGAGGUUUAGGAAAAUGCGGCCCUUUUUGCUCAAGCAUAACCACUUGCAUCCCUAAUGCUUGAGGGAUCACUAAAAUGUCACUAAAAAUAAUUGCUGCGUCAAGCAGACCUUUAAAGCGGGUGACUGGCUGAAGUGUUAGCUCACACGCCGUUUCAGGUGUUUGACACAUCUCAAAAAAGCUUUGUUUAGCACGAAGCUUAUGAU